rnacentral:rRNA from 1 species
GAUGAACGCUGGCGGUAUGCUUAACACAUGCAAGUCGAACGGACUCUUCGGAGUUAGGGGCGGACGGGUGAGUAACGCGUGAGAAUCUGGCUUUGGGUUCGGGACAACCACUGGAAACGGUGGCUAAUACCGGAUGUGCCGAGAGGUAAAAGAGAAAUUGCCUGAAGAUGAGCUCGCGUCUGAUUAGCUAGUUGGUGAGGUAAAGGCUCACCAAGGCAGCGAUCAGUAGCUGGUCUGAGAGGAUGACCAGCCACACUGGGACUGAGACACGGCCCAGACUCCUACGGGAGGCAGCAGUGGGGAAUUUUCCGCAAUGGGCGAAAGCCUGACGGAGCAAUACCGCGUGAGGGAAGAAGGCUCUUGGGUUGUAAACCUCUUUUCUUAGGGAAGAACAAAAUGACGGUACCUAAGGAAUCAGCAUCGGCUAACUCCGUG